rnacentral:lncRNA from 1 species
UCUAGCUUCCCUCUGAGUCUUCACAAGGACUUGUCUCCUCUUCUCAUCUUCAAUGACUUUCAACUCUCUAGCCAACUUCUCCUUGGUAAUGUCAUGCUCCUUCGUAGACGACUCUAAAGCUUGGUUGAUCUUGCAAUAAUAGGCGGUGUCUAUCUCAAAGCGCUUCAAUUCCAGAGCAUGUCUCUUAGCCUGGUCUUCUGCUUUCCCUUUGAUUUCC